rnacentral:sRNA from 1 species
GUGGGUCCCCGGAGGCUUGGCUGGCGGUGGGGCUGGGUCACAGCUUUGAAAUCUGAUUCUUCGUCUUCCCCGUCUCCGUGUCCAGGUGUCCGUGUUCUUCAGGACCAGCCCAAAGCACAAGCUCAAAAUCAUCAAGGCUCUGCAGGAGUCAGGGGCGAUCGUGGCCAUGACUGGGGAUGGGGUGAACGACGCAGUGGCCCUGAAGUCUGCAGACAUUGGGAUCGCCAUGGGGCAGACAGGGACGGACGUCAGCAAAGAGGCCGCCAACAUGAUCCUGGUGGAUGAUGACUUCUCAGCCAUCAUGAAUGCAGUGGAGGAAGGCAAGGGGAUUUUUUACAACAUCAAAAACUUUGUCCGAUUCCAGCUGAGCACCUUGGGGGUAGAGCCCGUUGACAAAGACGCCUUCAGGCAGCCACCACGGAGUGUGCGGGACACCAUCCUCAGCAGAGCCCUCAUCCUGAAGAUCCUCAUGUCCGCAGCCAUCAUCAUCAAUGGGACCCUGUUUAUCUUCUGGAAGGAGAUGCCUGAAGACAGAGCAAGCACUCCCCGCACCACGACGAUGACGUUCACUUGUUUUGUGUUUUUCGAUCUCUUCAACGCCUUGACCUGCCGCUCUCAGACCAAGCUGAUAUUUGAGAUCGGCUUUCUCAGGAACCACAUGUUCCUCUACUCCGUCCUGGGGUCCAUCCUGGGGCAGCUGGCAGUCAUUUACAUCCCCCCGCUGCAGAGGGUCUUCCAGACGGAGAACCUGGGAGCGCUUGAUUUGCUGUUUUUAACUGGAUUGGCCUCAUCCGUCUUCAUUUUGUCAGAGCUCCUCAAACUAUGUGAAAAAUACUGUUGCAGCCCCAAGAGAGUCCAGAUGCACCCUGAAGAUGUGU